AGACCCGAAACCCGGUGAUCUAGCCAUGGGCAGGUUGAAGGUUGGGUAACACUAACUGGAGGACCGAACCGACUAAUGUUGAAAAAUUAGCGGAUGACCUGUGGCUGGGGGUGAAAGGCCAAUCAAACCGGGAGAUAGCUGGUUCUCCCCGAAAGCUAUUUAGGUAGCGCCUCGUGAAUUCAUCUCCGGGGGUAGAGCACUGUUUCGGCUAGGGGGCCAUCCCGGCUUACCAACCCGAUGCAAACUGCGAAUACCGGAGAAUGUUAUCACGGGAGACACACGGCGGGUGCUAACGUCCGUCGUGAAGAGGGAAACAACCCAGACCGCCAGCUAAGGUCCCAAAGUCAUAGUUAAGUGGGAAACGAUGUGGGAAGGCCCAGACAGCCAGGAUGUUGGCUUAGAAGCAGCCAUCAUUUAAAGAAAGCGUAAUAGCUCACUGGUCGAGUCGGCCUGCGCGGAAGAUGUAACGGGGCUAAACCAUGCACCGAAGCUGCGGCAGCGACACUAUGUGUUGUUGGGUAGGGGAGCGUUCUGUAAGCCU
rnacentral:rRNA from 1 species